GCGUGUCGUCGCGACUGGCGCUGAGGUGGACACCCACCAGGGAGCGACGACGAGCACGACGUCGGGACCGUCCGCCUGGGCCCCGUGU
rnacentral:ncRNA from 2 species